ACGAACGCUGGCGGCGUGCUUAACACAUGCAAGUCGAGCGGUAAGGCCCUUUCGGGGGUACGACGAGCGGCGAACGGGUGAGUAACACGUGGGUGACCUGCCCUCAGCUCUGGGAUAAGCCUGGGAAACCGGGUCUAAUACCGGAUAUGACUCCAUGACGCAUGUUGUGGGGUGAAAGCCUUGUGCGGCUGAGGAUGGGCCCNCGUCUGGAUUAGCUUGUGGUGAGGUAAUGGCGUCACCAAGGCGACGAAUCAGUAGCUGGUCUGAGAGGAUGAUCAGCCACAUUGGGACUGAGACACGGCCCA
rnacentral:rRNA from 1 species